rnacentral:lncRNA from 1 species
UACAGGCAUCUCAUGAAGAUUGGGAAGGAGGGCUGCAGGAAGCCUGGUAGGGAUAGAUCUGGUAAGGAUAGCCACCUCCCAUGAUAAGCCCUGGGAGAGGAAUCUGGCGCCAUGACAGGCAGCUGUCUUGAGAAGGUGGCAUGCUUAGAGCCUCUUUGUUGUCACAUCUGGGCUUUAGCUGGAAUUCCCAAACAGGAAAAGCCUCAUCAAACAUCCUGCUGCAUUUGAACAAUGGAAAGGAGCGUCCAUUAGAAUCUUACCAUGCCAGAAUCAGAAGGGAUCAGAAGAGAUCACAGCCAACCCUCUCACACUACACAGAAGGAAACUGAGAUCCAAAGAGGAAAAUGGAGUGACUUAAAGGACCCAGUGAGUUAGAGGAAGUGCAAAACCUAAUACUGAGGUUUUUUAAAUCCCUGCACAAGGAUCUUUUCAUUAACUCAUUCAAGGAUGCUUAAUAAAGUAAAUAACGGAGUGUCUGCUAUAGAUUUGCUUCUAAAUGUCCUUGAAAGCAGUUGAUUGGAAAAUUCCACCUGGUGCUGCAAGUGAAAUUGCUAAAUGAAUUUGAUUCUUGCAUGCCAAAAAUAUCUCUACAAAGAUAUGAAUUUGUCUUGGUUUAAACACUGCGAGCAACUGGAUUCAGACAUCAAGGUCAUGGCUUUGCUCAUAGCACCUUUGCCUUCCAGUGGCCUUUCUGGUCUCUGAAUUCCAUGGUCUGAAGUUUGUCUUACCGAGGAGACUACUUGACCAUGUUUUUGUCAUCUCUGGUACCUUCCCGGUUUCCCAUCUUGAUGGUCAGGCUAUGCUGCUCAAGUCUGAUCCCCGUGGACCUUCCUCAUCACAGCAAGGCUGUGUGGAGCCAUUUUCUCCUCCACACCCCCCUUGCUCUGUGCCUUGCAACCUGGGCUGUCUGGACUAUAACUCUGCAGGUUGCAGUUGGGUUCAGUCAACUGACCAGACGUGGAAAAGAAGAAGGCGAGGGUGAGGUUGAGGUGCUUAUUGCCCGGUUCCCUCUUUGUGGGAUUUCCAAGGGCUGGCUGCAUCCCUCCAUUAAAAACCUCAGCUCCCACCAAGUGGCUCCUCCCAUCACAGGACUCCCUCUCCUGGUAUCAGUAGCUCUCCGUCCACUUACCUGUUCAGGCCUGGGCAGGUAACAGCACCUGGUGUUACUCAUGCUUUGAUGAGCCCUUUGGGGUUCUGCAUUAUCUCUUGUGGUUUCCCCAUACCCUGCCAUCCCUUUUAAAAAUAAUUCCUUUAUUAAACUCACCUCAAGUUACCCCAUUUAAGUGUGCCACCUGUUCAUCUGGGACUCUGACUGAUAUACUACCUGACUCCAACCUGAGACUCCAUCUCCCCCAAGUCUCUGGAACAUAUUCUGUCCCAAGAGGGAGAAUCUUUGGAGACUACUUUCAGGAGUCACUGCGUCUGCAAGUUCCUUGAACCUGAACUCCUAAGUCUGAAUUGCAAAUUCUCACCUUCCUCCUGAGAACAAGCCCCCAAGAACUUACAGUAGAACCUCUCACAUGGAGAUGGCAUGAGGCCAGGAAAUCAGGACCUUGAGUGAGGAGGCUGCAGAGCUGUGCUGGCUGUCUGGGAUGACAUUAGGUAUCUCAUAUAGCAGAGGGGCAAGAAGAGGGGGUCUGGGGAUCUUGAGAGAGAGCCCACUCUGGCAACGUUGGAAGCCAGAGUGUUCCUUACCUUUGGGCUGAUGAGAACUAGGGGGAGGCAUUUGUGUCCCUGCUUAGGCCAGAGCACUAGGAGGGGAGCGCCUGCUAGGGCCCAGCAUGAUGAUGGCAGUGAGACUCUGCUAACUGGACUGAGAGAGCCCUCGGGGAAGGUAAAGCACAGUACUCUCCUCUCAGCAUUAAUGACUACCCCGCCCCCUGCAAAUAGCCCACUGGUUCAAACUCCUACACCCCGUAGCUGAGCCAUCCCAUGGGUCUCUUAAGCUCCAAGUCCCUGUUCUGACAAUCGCAAGCUAUUCAAUAAUAGCCAGUGUCUUCUUUAUUUCUAUCCCUCAUUGUGCUAGACACAAAAUAUGUUAGCUUAAGAGUAGUUUACAGUCACUUACAACCUGCCUGCUACAGACUGCCACCUGAGCCCAAAACUGUGUGGGAUGGCAGUGUCACAGAAGAGAUAGUUGCAAAGUUGCCCAAAGUGUUCAUAUUAUCUCACAUUUUUUCAAAGUGCUUCACGGUUUGUCAUUUUCUCAUGUAUUAUAUAUCAGUUAAUUCUCACAAUAAAUCUGUUAUACAUAUGUAUAUAUAC